AUUGAACGCUGGCGGCAGGCUUAACACAUGCAAGUCGAGCGGAGAUGAGGUGCUUGCACCUUAUCUUAGCGGCGGACGGGUGAGUAAUGCUUAGGAAUCUGCCUAUUAGUGGGGGACAACAUUCCGAAAGGAAUGCUAAUACCGCAUACGUCCUACGGGAGAAAGCAGGGGAUCUUCGGACCUUGCGCUAAUAGAUGAGCCUAAGUCGGAUUAGCUAGUUGGUGGGGUAAAGGCCUACCAAGGCGACGAUCUGUAGCGGGUCUGAGAGGAUGAUCCGCCACACUGGGACUGAGACACGGCCCAGACUCCUACGGGAGGCAGCAGUGGGGAAUAUUGGACAAUGGGGGGAACCCUGAUCCAGCCAUGCCGCGUGUGUGAAGAAGGCCUUAUGGUUGUAAAGCACUUUAAGCGAGGAGGAGGCUACUGAGACUAAUACUCUUGGAUAGUGGACGUUACUCGCAGAAUAAGCACCGGCUAACUCUGUGCCAGCAGCCGCGGUAA
rnacentral:rRNA from 1 species